rnacentral:rRNA from 1 species
GACGAACGCUGGCGGCGUGCUUAACACAUGCAAGUCGAACGGAAAGGCCCUGCUUUUGUGGGGUGCUCGAGUGGCGAACGGGUGAGUAACACGUGAGUAACCUGCCCUUGACUUUGGGAUAACUUCAGGAAACUGGGGCUAAUACCGGAUAGGAGCUCCUGCUGCAUGGUGGGGGUUGGAAAGUUUCGGCGGUUGGGGAUGGACUCGCGGCUUAUCAGCUUGUUGGUGGGGUAGUGGCUUACCAAGGCUUUGACGGGUAGCCGGCCUGAGAGGGUGACCGGACAAAUUGGGAAUGAGAUACGGGCCAGAAUCCUACGGGGGGCAGCAGGGGGGAAUAUUGGACAAUGGGCGGAAGCCUGAUGCAGCAACGCCGCGUGCGGGAUGACGGCCUUCGGGUUGUAAACCGCUUUCGCCUGUGACGAAGCGUGAGUGACGGUAAUGGGUAAAGAAGCACCGGCUAACUACGUG